rnacentral:rRNA from 1 species
AUUGGACGCUGGCGGCAUGCCUUACACAUGCAAGUCGAACGGCAGCACGGGGGCAACCCUGGUGGCGAGUGGCGAACGGGUGAGUAACAUAUCGGAACAUACCCUAGAGUGGGGGAUAACGUAGCGAAAGUUACGCUAAUACCGCAUACGAUCUAAGGAUGAAAGUGGGGGAUCUUCGGACCUCAUGCUCAUGGAGUGGCCGAUAUCUGAUUAGCUAGUUGGUGAGGUAAAGGCUCACCAAGGCGACGAUCAGUAGCUGGUUUGAGAGAACGACCAGCCACACUGGAACUGAGACACGGUCCAGACUCCUACGGGAGGCAGCAGUGGGGAAUUUUUGGACAAUGGGGGCAACCCUGAUCCAGCAAUGCCGCGUGAGUGAAGAAGGCCUUCGGGUUGUAAGACGUCUUUUGUUCUAGGGAAGAAACGGUAGAGUUCUAAUACAGCUUGCUAAUGACGGUACCGUGAAGAA